GGCUAACGCUGGCGGCGUGUCUUAGCCAUGCAAGUCGAGCGGACUUAUGGGGUAACUUAUAAGUCAGCGGCGGACGGCGGAGUAACACGUAGCUAACCUACCCUCUGGACGGGGAUAACCUACCGAAAGGUGGGCUAAUACCCGAUGUAGUCAGUCCUGUAUAGGGGUGAUGAAAGGUGGGCUUCUGUUUACAAGCUCAUGCUGGAGGAGGGGGCUGCGGCCUAUCAGGUAGUUGGUAGGGUAAUAGCCUACCAAGCCGAUGACGGGUAGCCGGCCUGAGAGGGUGACCGGCCCGAGGGGCACUGAGAUACGGGUCCCACUCCUACGGGAGGCAGCAGGCUAGAAAUUUGGGCAAUGGGGGAAACCCUGACCCAGUGACGCCGCGUGCAGGAAGGAGCCCUUCGGGGUGUAAACUGCUGUCGUGUAGGGAGAAGGGUACUAAGGUGAACAAUCUUAGUACUUGACGGUACUACAGGAGGAAGCCCAGGCUAACCUCGUG
rnacentral:rRNA from 1 species